GAUGUGCCUGUGCUCAAUAUGUUGAUCCUGUGUGUGGUGUAAAUGGAGUGACGUACACCAAUGCUGGAUGUCUGACAUGCGCUGGGGUCCCCAUGGCUUGUAGGGGAGGUUGUCCUUGCUACAGACGCUACUGAACAUAACAGAGACAACACUUUACAGGAAAGUCAUCAGGGGCCUAUAGAAUAGUGUUUAGGUCUCUUACGUCUGUAAAAGUGAAUUUCUUUGUGUAAUAAAAGUAAUAUUCUUAAUAUA